AGCAGCCGCGGUAAUUCCAGCUCCAAUAGCGUAUAUUAAAGUUGUUGCAGUUAAAAAGCUCGUAGUUGAAUUUCGGGAUCAGCAGGUUGGUCGUGCCUCUGGUAUGCACUGGUUUCGCUGAUUCCUCCUUUCUGAAGAACUGUAAUGUCAUUAAUUUGGUGUUGCGGGGAAUUUGGACUGUUACUUUGAAAAAAUUAGAGUGUUUAAAGCAGGCUAACGCUUGAAUACAUUAGCAUGGAAUAAUGAAAUAGGACGUUUGAUCCUAUUUUGUUGGUUUCUAGGAUUGACGUAAUGAUUAAUAGGGAUAGUUGGGGGCAUUAGUAUUCAAUUGUCAGAGGUGAAAUUCUUGGAUUUAUUGAAGACUAACUACUGCGAAAGCAUUUGCCAAGGAUGUUUUCAUUAAUCAAGAACGAAAGUUAGGGGAUCGAAGACGAUCAGAUACCGUCGUAGUCUUAACCAUAAACUAUGCCGACUAGGGAUCGGAUGAUGUUAAUUUUUUAAUGACUCA
rnacentral:rRNA from 1 species